UUUAAAAAUUUAGUUUAUAGAUUUAAAAGUAUGUAAAAUUUUAUAUUUAUUUUUAGUUUUAGUAAUUAUUUAUGAAAUAAUGUAUUAAUUGAUAGAUAAAGUAAUGUAAAUGAAUUUUUUUAAAAAAUUUAGUAAGUAAAAUUUAUUUUGUACCUUUUGUAUCAGGGUUAAUUAAUUUAUUUUAAGUAAUUAAUGGUCUCGAAAGAAAAAGAGCUAAAUAUGUAAUGAUGUUAUUGUGAAAAUAAUAAUUAAAAUAUGUAUUUAGAGAUUAAAUGUCAAUCGAUUUUUUUUAUAUCUAGUUUUUUUUGAAAUAAAUUUAAUUUAUGUAUAAAAAAUAUAAUGAAUUUAUUUUUAAAUUUUAUUAUAUUUUUAUAUAAAAAAUUUGUGGGAUAAUCUAUGAAUUUAUAAUAUAUAAUUAAUUUAUUUUUAUAUAAUAAAAUUAUAUUGAUUUAAAAAUAAUUUUUAUUAAUAAGUAUUUAAUAAUUUAUUUGUUUAUGUAAAAAUUUGUAUUAUUAGUUAUAAAAAUAAUUAAUAUAUAUUUAUUAAAAAAAAAUAAUUUUUAAUUUUUAAAAAUUAAAUGUAAUGAUUAUAUUAGUAAUAAAUAUUUUGUAAUAUUUAAUUAUUUAAAUUAAAUAUAUAUAUAUAUAAGGAAUUAAGCAAAAUUAAUAUGUCCACCUGUUUAUCAAAAACAUGGCUUAUUGAUAAUAAUUUUAAGUCUAUCUGCCCAAUGAUUUUAAAAUUUAAUGGCUGCAGUAUAAUUAACUGUACAAAGGUAGCAUAAUCAAUUGUUUUUUAAUUAAGAACUAGAAUGAAAGAAUUAAUGAGAUAUAUUCUGUCUCAUAUAUAUAUUAUGAAAUUAAAUUUUUAGUAAGAAUGCUAAAAUAUGUUUAUGGGACGAUAAGACCCUAUAGAAUUUUAUAUUUAUAUUUGGAAUUAAAAUUUAUUUUAAGUAUAAGUAUUUGAUUGGGAGGAUUAAUAAAUUUAAUUAACUUUAUUUAAAAUAUUAACUUUAAUUAAAGAAUUAUUUUUGAUCUUUUAUUAAAAAUUAAAAGAAAAAAUUACCUUAGGGAUAACAGCGUAAUAUCUUUUUAAAGAUCAUAUUAAUAAAGAUGGUUGCGACCUCGAUGUUGAAUUAAGAUAAAUUUUAAACGGAGAAGUUUAAUGAUUAAGUCUGUUCGACUUUUAAAAUCUUACAUGAUUUGAGUUCAAAUCGACGUGAGUCAGAUUGGUUUCUAUCUAUAAAAUUUAAUAAAUUAUUUGUACGAAAGGACUGUAAUUUAUAAUUAAAUUAUAGUUAAUUAAUUAAUAUAUGUUUAUAUUAUAUUAGCAUAUUAGUGCAUUAAAUUUAGAAUUUAAUUAAAU
rnacentral:rRNA from 1 species